UGUUGUUUAUCUCUCUCUCUCUCCAAAAAAAGAAAAAAAAGAAAGCAAGAAAGAAAAAAAGAAGGGAGUUGUUCUUCUAGAUAGCAGCUCUAUACUGCAUAUUGAAUCCAUUUGUAAUUCUUGACAGGGAAAUUUUGGGAAACAACAGCUUAUGUCACUAGAAUGUUCUGCUCAGUAUCAGAAUGGGAUGCAUGUACUGUUAGUAAUGGAUGGUGAACAACAAGCGAAGCCACUAUCAUGGUUUCACGAUAAUGAUGGUCAGCAUAUGAUGAUGUCGGAUGACCCAAAUUUUGCUGCCUCAAAGGUUAGUGUUCUAUUUAAGAGCCUUAUGAUGGUACAAGUGUGCCCACCUUUUUUCCUUUUCCAUCUUGUGCUUUUGUCACUGAUGCACCCCCCAUGGCAAUGAUUGAAUUGGAAAGUUCAAGCAAUUUCAACUAAACAUUUUCGGUAAUUUAGAUAACAGCAAUUUAUUUGGGGUUUCCAUUUUGAUUAUGGCCAAAAUCAGUCUUUCUAUGUAAUUUAAGUUCAAUGCUCAGAAACCUACCGGUCAAUUUGGAAUUUCAUCUAGUUGACCCAAUUUAUCCAGCCUUCAGUAUGGAAAUCCAAAUGCUGAUUUAAAUAAAACAGGAUGGUCAGUCAAAUUAAGGGACUGAAAUACCAAGUUUAUAUCAUAUUCCAAGUUUUUUAAAAUAUGAUUUGAUAUAUAAAAUGUAUGAUAUUUCUUAAAACUAUCGAUCGCUAUGCAUCUUUUUGCAGCUUUUUAUGCUAUUUCAGGAAUCUUGAUACAAGCCUUUGUUCAUUGAAGUAAAUGCAGCAUUGUAGCUCAUCUAAAUGAUUUUGUAGGAAUUUUUCUACCUGCCCCUGCUUAGAUCUCAUGAUUCUUUGCAGCAUCAGGGAUAUAGACUGCUCCACAGGCACCUCUGAUCCCAAUUAUUUGGGUUACUUUCACAUGGGAAAGCAAGCGACAAUUGAUAGUUCAGGGCAAGAAGGUGCUUUGAAUGAGUUAAGCAAAAAUGAGUGCUUGAGGCUACAACUAGGUAUGUGUUGACCAUCUCCAUGGUUGUUUACUCCUCAGCUGUAAGAAAGCCUUUAGUGGCAGCAAUUGAUGGUUUGCAUUUGGUUUAAUUUGAAAUGAGGGAUAUUUUUUAUAAGGAACCCAAAUUGAAACC